rnacentral:lncRNA from 1 species
GACAGGAUCUCACUUAUGGGGCUGGGAGAGGGAUGGGGCCAUGGGGACCGAACCCAUGUCAACUUAUGGGGCCGAACCCAUGUCACUUAUGGGGUAGGACGCGAACCCAUGUCACUUAUGGGGCAGGAACCCUUCUCACUUCAGUUAUGGGGCAGGCGCCAUCCAGGC